rnacentral:rRNA from 1 species
GUAGGGAAUAUUGCGCAAUGGACGAAAGUCUGACGCAGCGACGCCGCGUGAGUGAUGAAGGCCUUAGGGUCGUAAAGCUCUGUUGAAUGGGAAGAAAAAAAUGACGGUACCAUUCGAGGAAGGACCGGCUAACUUCGUGCCAGCAGCCGCGGUAAUACGAGGGGUCCUAGCGUUGUUCGGAAUCAUUGGGCGUAAAGGGUGUGUAGGUGGCCAUGUAAGUCAGGUGUGAAAGCCCCGGGGUCAACCCGGGAAGUGCACUUGAUACUGCGGGGCUUGAGUACCGAGGAGGGUAGUGGAAUUCCAGGUGUAGUGGUGAAAUACGUAGAUAUCUGGAGGAACACCGGUGGCGAAGGCGGCUACCUGGUCGAGUACUGACACUGAGACACGAAAGCAUGGGGAUCAAACAGGAUUAGAAACCCGGGUAGUCC